UAGGGAAUCUUCGGCAAUGGGGGCAACCCUGACCGAGCAACGCCGCGUGAGUGAAGAAGGUUUUCGGAUCGUAAAGCUCUGUUGUAAGUCAAGAACGGGUGUGAGAGUGGAAAGUUCACACUGUGACGGUAGCUUACCAGAAAGGGACGGCUAACUACGUGCCAGCAGCCGCGGUAAUACGUAGGUCCCGAGCGUUGUCCGGAUUUAUUGGGCGUAAAGCGAGCGCAGGCGGUUUUGAUAAGUCUGAAGUUAAAGGCUGUGGCUCAACCAUAGUUCGCUUUGGAAACUGUCAAACUUGAGUGCAGAAGGGGAGAGUGGAAUUCCAUGUGUAGCGGUGAAAUGCGUAGAUAUAUGGAGGAACACCGGUGGCGAAAGCGGCUCUCUGGUCUGUAACUGACGCUGAGGCUCGAAAGCGUGGGGAGCGAACAGGAUUAGAUACCCUGGUAGUCCACGCCGUAAACGAUGAGUGCUAGGUG
rnacentral:rRNA from 1 species